rnacentral:rRNA from 1 species
UACGUAGGGUGCGAGCGUUAAUCGGAAUUCCUGGGCGUAAAGCGUGCGCAGGCGGUUUUGUAAGCCAGAUGUGAAAUCCCCGGGCUUAACCUGGGAAUGGCAUUUGGGACUGCAAGGCUGGAGUGCGGCAGAGGAGACUGGAAUUCCUGGUGUAGCAGUGAAAUGCGUAGAUAUCAGGAGGAACACCGAUGGCGAAGGCAGGUCUCUGGGCUGACACUGACGCUCAUGCACGAAAGCGUGGGGAGCAAACAGG